AGUGAACGCUGGCGGUAGGCCUAACACAUGCAAGUCGAACGGCAGCACAGUAAGAGCUUGCUCUUACGGGUGGCGAGUGGCGGACGGGUGAGGAAUACAUCGGAAUCUACUUUUUCGUGGGGGAGAACGUAGGGAAACUUACGCUAAUACCGCAUACGACCUACGGGUGAAAGCAGGGGAUCUUCGGACCUUGCGCGAUUGAAUGAGCCGAUGUCGGAUUAGCUAGUUGGCGGGGUAAAGGCCCACCAAGGCGACGAUCCGUAGCUGGUCUGAGAGGAUGAUCAGCCACACUGGAACUGAGACACGGUCCAGACUCCUACGGGAGGCAGCAGUGGGGAAUAUUGGACAAUGGGCGCAAGCCUGAUCCAGACAUACCGCGUGGGUGAAGAAGGCCUUCGGGUUGUAAAGCCCUUUUGUUGGGAAAGAAAAGCAGCAGGUUAAUACCCCGCUGUUCUGACGGUACCCAAAGAAUAAGCACCGGCUAACUUCGUG
rnacentral:rRNA from 1 species